rnacentral:rRNA from 1 species
UACGUAGGUGGCAAGCGUUAUCCGGAAUUACUGGGCGUAAAGCGCACGCAGGUGGUUUUCUAAGAUUGACGUGAAACCUUCUGGCUUAACUGGAAGACGUCGUUGAUGACUGGAAGACUUGAGGCGAGGAGAGGGGUGCAGAAUUCCCGGUGUAGUGGUGGAAUGCGUAGAGAUCGGGAGGAAUACCAGUGGCGAAAGCGGCACCCUGGCCUUGGCCUGACGCUCAGGUGCGAAAGCGUGGGGAGAGAACGGG